AUUGAACGCUGGCGGCAUGCUUUACACAUGCAAGUCGAACGGCAACACGGGGGGCAACCCUGGUGGCGAGUGGCGAACGGGUGAGUAAUACAUAGGAACGUAUCCUGAAAUGGGGGAUAGCUCGGCGAAAGCCGGAUUAAUACCGCAUACGAUCUACGGAUGAAAGCAGGGGAUUCGCAAGAACCUUGCGUUUCUGGAGCGGCCUAUGUCUGAUUAGCUAGUUGGCGGGGAAAAGCCCACCAAGGCGACGAUCAGUAGCUGGUCUGAGAGGAUGAUCAGCCACACUGGGACUGAGACACGGCCCAGACUCCUACGGAGGCAGCAGUGGGGAAUUUUGGACAAUGGGGGCAACCCUGAUCCAGCCAUGCCGCGUGAGUGAAGAAGGCCU
rnacentral:rRNA from 1 species